UACGUAGGGUGCGAGCGUUGUCCGGAAUUAUUGGGCGUAAAGAGCUCGUAGGUGGUCUGUCGCGUCGGUCGUGAAAACUUGGGGCUUAACCCUGAGCUUGCGGUCGAUACGGGCAUGACUGGAGUUCGGCAGAGGAGACUGGAAUUCCUGGUGUAGCGGUGAAAUGCGCAGAUAUCAGGAGGAACACCGGUGGCGAAGGCGGGUCUCUGGGCCGAUACUGACGCUGAGGAGCGAAAGCGUGGGGAGCGAACAGG
rnacentral:rRNA from 1 species